ACGCUCGACACCUACGGGAGGCAGCAGUGGGGAAUAUUGCACAAUGGGGGAAACCCUGAUGCAGCGACGCCGCGUGAAGGAAGAAGUAUUUCGGUAUGUAAACUUCUAUCAGCAGGGAAGAAAAUGACGGUACCUGACUAAGAAGCCCCGGCUAACUACGUGACAGCAGCCGCGGUAAUCUGAGCGGGCUGGCAAGGC
rnacentral:rRNA from 1 species